CAUGUUUACAACUCGUUCCGUUGCCUAGGAAACGAGUGUUCAUAUCGAUAAAUACCGCUACUUGUCACAUGUUCCGAAGUUUAUGUUACGAGUAUGGCUGCUGUUCUGCCAGAUUCUGAUAGCGAAGACGAAUUACCGCCGGGAUGGGAAGAAAGAACCACGGUUGACGGCAGUGUUUACUAUGUGAACCAUGCAACAAAAGGAACACAAUGGACACACCCAAGGACAGGAAAGAAGAAAGUUGUGUCAGGAGAUCUUCCAUUUGGAUGGGAAAAAUGUGUGUCUGAAGACGGAAAAAUAUUUUAUGUUGAUCACGUAAAUCGUCGUACAACAUAUACUGACCCAAGACUGGCAUUUGCAACAGAAGAGAAGGAACAUCCACAUGACUUUCGUCAACGAUAUGAUGGUUCAACUACUGCUUUACAGAUUUUACAUGGCAGAGAUUUGACAGGAAAAGUUGCUGUAAUAACGGGUGCUAAUACAGGAAUAGGCUAUGAAACAGCAAGAUCAUUAGCAUUCCAUGGAUGCAUCGUAGUAUUUGCUUGUCGCAGUCAGUCGAGGGCUGAGGCAGCUAUAGCAAAAAUUCAAGCUGAAAGACCAAAUGCUCGAUGUAAUUUCAUUGAGUUAGAUCUUUGUUCACUGGCAAGUGUGAAGAUGUUUGUCGUCAAUUUUAGACACAUAUACCAGUCAUUGGACUAUCUCAUUCUUAAUGCAGCGAUUUUUGGGUUACCAUUCUCAUUGACGGGGGAUGGAUAUGAAACAUUGUUCCAAGUAAACCACUUGAGUCACUUUUAUCUCACACUGCUGCUUCUGUCAUCGCUGCAUUCAUCAUCUAGGAUUGUUGUUGUGUCUUCAGAAUCCCACAGGUCUUCGGAUUUGUGUCUCAACAAUAUUUCACAAAGUAAAUUAUCUCCCAGUUCAGGGAGUCAUUAUUGGUCUUUGAUGGCUUAUAAUCAUUCAAAACUCUGUAACAUUCUGUUUGCCAAUGAACUGGCCCGCAGAUGCUUAGAUAAGGGAGUAUGUGUGAAUUCUUUGCAUCCUGGAAACUUAGUGAGCUCAGAUUUACCUCGAAACUGGUGGUUUUAUCGACUUCUGUUUACCUUAGUCAGACCAUUUACAAAAUCAUUGGUGAGUAUUACUCAAAUCAUUCAUCCUUAUGAAAUCCCCAAACCACCUUCCAUACCCUCUGGCUCCUACCCUUGUAACAACCCCCGGUGCAAAACCUAACCCAUGCACUCUCCCACCACCACCUACUCCAGUCCUGUAACCCGGAGGUUAACCAAGAGGUUACGAAGCCACGUGUGAAAGCACCCACGUGAUUUACCAACUGACGUGCCUGCACUGUGAAGCCUUCUAUGUGGGCAUGACCAGCAACAAACUGUCCAUUUGCAUGAACGGACACAGGCAGACUGUGUUUGUUGGUAAUGAGGAUCACCCUGUGGCUAAACAUGCCUUGAUGCAUGGUCAGCACAUCUUGGCACAGUGUUACACUGUCCGGGUUAUCUGGAUACUUCCCACUGACACCAACCUAUCAGAACUCUGGAGAUGGGAACUUGCCCUUCAAUAUAUUCUCUCUUCCCGUUACCCACCAGGCCUCAGCCUCCGCUAAUUUCAAGUUGCCACCCCUUGUACAUCACUUGUCAUUCAACAACAUCUUUACCUCUGUACUUCCGCCUCGACUGACAUCUCUGCCCAACCUCUUUGCCUUUACAAAUGUCUGCCUGUGUGUGUGUAUAGGUGCGGAUGCAUGUGCGUGUGUGUGUGUGUGUGUGUGUGUGUGUGUGUGUGUGUGUGUCUGUGCGCGCAAGUGUAUACCUGUCCUUUUUCCCCCCUAAGGUAAGUCUUUCCGCUCCCGGGUUUGGAAUGACUCCUUACCCCCUCCCCUUAAAACCCACAUCCUUUCAUCUUUCCCUCUCCUUCCCUCUUUCCUGAUGAAGCAACUGUGGGUUGCAAAAGCUUGAAUUUUGUGUGUGUGUUUGAGUUUGUUUGUGUGUCUAUCAACAUACCAACACUUUUGUUUGGUAAGCUACAUCAUCUUUGUUUUCAGAUAUAUAAAGAUGAUGUAACUUACCAAACAAAAUCAUUGGUAUGUUGAUAGAGACGCAACAAACAUAUAUAUAUAGUGAUAUGGAAAGCUGUUUGUUUAUGGCUGUAUUAUGUAUGAAAAUGUAAGGAAAAGAAACUGAGAAAACAGUAAAAUCAUAAUGAGACAGAAUGGUUGGCCCAGGGAUGGUUUAAGGCCCAAGCUAUGUAAACUGCCACUUGGGGCACCAAGCUGAGAGGGACAUAAGUCACCAUAACUGUGUUAUUUCUAUGUAGGACAUACCAUAAUUAGUAGCAGUCACUUGGGUCAACGUGCUGAGAGGGGCACCCAAGUACAAGAUUUGUGUACAGUUUGUAUCACAGAUCGUACCUAAAACUGGAGUAUGUGAAAUUGUACAAGGGAAAAGGGUGGCACUAAAUGAUAAGUCAGUUGUGUGAGAAAAUGUUCCUGAAGUGGCCCUGGGUUGGUCACAACUUAUCUUUGGGUAGUGAAUGCCUACCUGUCCACAAGUGCCUCCCUCUCAUCCCGGGAUCUGAGUGACCUGCCCUCCUUUCCAACUUUUCACAGUCUGUCCCUCUUUCCCCACUGAGGAAGGAAGUAAUAGUUCUGGAACCUUAAGUGACAUUGCAGUUAGAUCAGAGCGACAGCUUCAGGUAAUUUGCAUUUUUGCUGUCUCGAAAUAAUUUAAGACAACACACUAAAUUACAGAGAAAUUAAUUCAUUAUUUGUUUAAUUUUGA